rnacentral:rRNA from 1 species
CGAACGGGUGGGUAACGCGUGAGGAACCUGCCUCAAAGAGGGGGACAACAGUUGGAAACGACUGCUAAUACCGCAUAAGCCCACGGCUCGGCAUCGAGCAGAGGGAAAAGGAGCAAUCCGCUUUGAGAUGGCCUCGCGUCCGAUUAGCUAGUUGGUGAGGUAACGGCCCACCAAGGCGACGAUCGGUAGCCGGACUGAGAGGUUGAACGGCCACAUUGGGACUGAGACACGGCCCAG